rnacentral:rRNA from 1 species
AUUGAACGCUGGCGGAAUGCUUUACACAUGCAAGUCGAACGGCAGCACGGACUUCGGUCUGGUGGCGAGUGGCGAACGGGUGAGUAAUACAUCGGAACGUGCCCAGUCGUGGGGGAUAACGUAGCGAAAGCUACGCUAAUACCGCAUACGAGCUACGGAUGAAAGCGGGGGAUCGCGAGACCUCGCGCGAUUGGAGCGGCCGAUGGCAGAUUAGGUAGUUGGUGGGGUAAAGGCUAACCAAGCCGACGAUCUGUAGCUGGUCUGAGAGGGCGGCCAGCCACACUGGGAGAGAGACACGGCCCCGACUCCUACGGGAGGCAGCAGUGGGGAAUUGUGGACAAUGGGCGCAAGCCUGAUCCAGCCAUUCCGCGUGCAGGAUGAAGGCCCUCGGGUUGUAAACUGCUUUUGUACGGAACGAAAAGGCUCUGGUUAAUACCCGGGGCUAAUGACGGUACCGUAAGAAUAAGCACCGGCUAACUACGUGCCAGCCGCCGCGGUAA